rnacentral:tRNA from 3 species
GUCUCCGUAGCUCAGUAGGAUAGAGCGUUCGCCUCCUAAGCGAAAGGCCGCGCGUUCGAAUCGCGCCGGGGACGCCA